rnacentral:rRNA from 1 species
CAGAUUGCAGGCUGCAACUCGCCUGCAUGAAGUCGGAAUUGCUAGUAAUCGCAGAUCAGCAUGCUGCGGUGAAUACGUUCCCGGGCCUUGUACACACCGCCCGUCACACCAUGGGAGUCGGUAACACCCGAAGUCGGUAGCCUAACCGUAAGGAGGGCGCCGCCAAGGUGGGAUUGAUGACUGGGGUGAAGUCGUAACAAGGUACC